CCGGGUCCACAGCACCUCGUGACGGCUGCCAUGGUCUUUUAAAUGACCUCUGUUCCCUACAAGGCAGCCGGCAUCUCCUCCUUGACAGUGAGAGGGAGAGAGAGGAACAGCAGUCAGCCAGCACCAUCUGGGAAUAAUGAAGAGGGACUGGAAAUUCUUGCUAUGUACCCAGCCUGACAUGAUGCUGAAAACAAGAGAAAAAUGAUAAAAAGAAAAAGGGGAGAGGGGAUAAGAAUCCAUAUGCCCGAGGACUCAACCUAUCUUCAAUCUGUUUUAAAGUUACAACAUCAAGUGUUCAUUCCUUAACAAUCAUGAGUUUCAGGAGGUAUGGUGCAAAAAAUGGGACCUGCAGGUUUUAAGAACAAGUCCU